UACGAAGGGGGCUAGCGUUGUUCGGAAUUACUGGGCGUAAAGGGCGUGUAGGCGGCUUGCAAAGUUGGGCGUGAAAGCCCCGGGCUCAACCCGGGAAUCGCGUUCGAUACUGGCGAGCUAGAGUUCGGGAGAGGGUCGUGGAAUUCCCAGUGUAGAGGUGAAAUUCGUAGAUAUUCGCAAGAACACCAGUGGCGAAGGCGGCUCACUGGCCCGAUACUGACGCUGAGGUGCGAAAGCGUGGGGAGCAAACAGG
rnacentral:rRNA from 1 species